rnacentral:tRNA from 1 species
GAGGAUUUAGCUUAAUCAAAGUGUCUGGUUUGCGGUCAGAAGAUGUGAGGCGCAGUCUUACAAUCCUUA